UACAGAGGGUGCAAGCGUUAAUCGGAAUUACUGGGCGUAAAGCGUGCGUAGUCGGUUAUCUAAGUCGGGUGUGAAAUCCCCGGGCUCAACCUGGGAAUUGCAUUCGAUACGGGCAGGCUAGAGUUCGGCAGGGGAGACUGGAAUUCCUGGUGUAGCGGUGAAAUGCGUAGAUAUCGGGAGGAACACCUGUGGCGAAAGCGGCUCACUGGACCAUAACUGACGCUGAUGCACGAAAGCCGGGGGAGCAAACAGG
rnacentral:rRNA from 1 species